rnacentral:lncRNA from 1 species
AGAACCAGAAGAACUGUGUGGAGUGGCAGCAACUGGAGGAAGCAGAAUGUCCCCGAGCAAGAUUGUCAAGAGAAAAAAGUUACAUGUAUAAAAUCUACAGUAGAAUUGGAAGAUGGAUCUAAUGAGAAUAACACUAAGGAAACACCAUCCUUCAAAAACUAAAAGCUCCUUGAUGAGACACCAGGCGAAAGGCAAGAUGCCAGAGUAUAAAUGACUUUGAGACAAGAAAAUGAAGUGUCCCAGAAGAGGAAAUGCACAUCAGCCAUUUUCAUUUCACGUGGGAAGAACAAUAUGAGACAAACAACCUAAGAUUAAAUGAAACCAGUUGGAUUGGAGAGAUGCAUUUACAUUUUACCACCUGGAUAAGUGUAUUUUCCUCUUGUGGCUUUAUAGGCUUGGGGGCUAUUGAAAAAUAUCUGUCUAUAAAUUGAAUCAACACUCAUUAAACUCAUUAAGAGAAA